AUUGAACGCUGGCGGCAUGCUCUACACAUGCAAGUCGAACGGUAACAGGCCGCAAGGUGCUGACGAGUGGCGAACGGGUGAGUAAUGCAUCGGAACGUGCCCAGUCGUGGGGGAUAACUACUCGAAAGAGUAGCUAAUACCGCAUACGAUCUAUGGAUGAAAGCGGGGGACCGUAAGGCCUCGCGCGAUUGGAGCGGCCGAUGUCAGAUUAGGUAGUUGGUGGGGUAAAGGCUCACCAAGCCAACGAUCUGUAGCGGGUCUGAGAGGACGACCAGCCACACUGGAACUGAGACACGGCCAAGACUCCUACGGGAGGCAGCAGUGGGGAAUUUUGGACAAUGGGCGCAAGCCUGAUCCAGCAAUGCCGCGUGCAGGAAGAAGGCCUUCGGGUUGUAAACUGCUUUUGUACGGAACGAAACGGCUCUGGUUAAUACCCGGGGCUAAUGACGGUACCGUAAGAAUAAGCACCGGCUAACUACGUG
rnacentral:rRNA from 1 species